UAUAUAUUUUUGCGCUAGUGGGGCAGCCUACUGGAAACGCGCGGUACUAUGGAGACGGUUGGGUCAAAUUAAUUUGACAUUCUUCCCCCAGCGCAAGAGCACAUUGUAUGAAUGUGGCUUUGUUUACAUGCGGCUGUUUUCGCGUGUUUUCAUCGUGAUUGCCCGGUUCUGCUAUCUUAGUGCUUUGGUUGGUUUUCCCUAUGAACAUUUUCCUCCUCAACCAAUGGUUCUGCUGCACUUGUCUCAUCGCGUUAAGGAUCACGUCUCUGCCGUCGAACGCUUCCAUCGGAUGAUCUUCGUUCGGAAUUCCAUAGAAAUGGUUCGGCGAAAGG